AUUGAACGCUGGCGGCAUGCCUUACACAUGCAAGUCGAACGGCAGCAUGAUCUAGCUUGCUCGAUUGAUGGCGAGUGGCGAACGUGUGAGUAAUACAUCUGAACGUGCCCUGUAGUGGGGGAUAACUAGUCGAAAGAUUAGCUACUACCGCAUACGACCUGAUGGUUGAAGUGGGGGACCGCAAGGCCUCAUUCUCUAGGAGCGGCCGAUGUCUUAUUAGCUAGUUGGUGAGGUAAAGGCUCACCAAGGCGACGAUCAGUAGCUGGUCUGAGAGGACGAUAAGCCAAACUGGAACUGAGACACGGCACAGAAACCUACGGGAGGCAGCAGUGGGGAAUGUUGGACAAUGGGCGAAAGCAUGAUACAGCAAUGCCGCGUGUGUGAAGAAGGCCUUCGGGUUGUAAAGCACUUUUGUCCGGAAAGAAAAGGAUCAGGUUAAUACCUGGGGUCGAUGACGGUACCGGAAGAAUAAGGACCGGCUAACUACGUG
rnacentral:rRNA from 1 species